rnacentral:snRNA from 1 species
GGAUGUGCGGGCGAUCCAGCUGUGAUGCGUGCAGCCCACUGACCUGGCUGGUGAGAUGGGCCUCCCCUGCUUCCCUCACCUUUCCAUGUGUGGCCCUCCCACAGCUGCAUGCGCGGUGUCUGUCACGGAGGGCCAUGUACCUGAUGAAGGAGGACCCUUUCCUUGGCCAUUGAUUUACAAACAGCUGCACUGCCCUGCUGAACCUCCAACCAAGCUCUCAGAAUCCAUCCAGUGGCCACUUCCUUUCAGACCUCCAAAACAGACAAGGCUAAGGAUUGUUCUGCUU